rnacentral:rRNA from 1 species
AUAAGCGGAGGAAAAGAAACUAACAAGGAUUCCCCUAGUAACGGCGAGUGAAGAGGGAAGAGCCCAAGAUUGAAAGCUGGCGUCUUUGGCGUCCGCAUUGUAAUCUCAAGAAGUGUUUUCCGCUUCGGACCAUGCCUAAGUCCCUUGGAAAAGGGCAUCAUAGAGGGUGAUAAUCCCGUACAUGGCAUGGAGCGCCCGAAGCUUUGUGAUACACUUUCUAAGAGUCGAGUUGUUUGGGAAUGCAGCUCAAAAUGGGUGGUAAAUGCCAUCUAAGGCUAAAUAUUGGGGAGAGACCGAUAGCGAACAAGUACAGUGAUGGAAAGAUGAAAAGAACUUUGAAAAGAGAGUUAAACAGUACGUGAAAUUGCCAAAAGGGAAGGGUAGGAGGUCAGAGAUGCGGUCUGGGAUUCAGCCUUGCUUUUGCUGGGUGUUUUUCUCAGAUUGCAGGCCAACGUCGGUUUUGGGCGCUGGAGAAGGGUGGAAGGAAUGUGGCACCUCUCGGGGUGUGUUAUAGCCUUCUACUGGAUACAGUGACCGAGACCGAGGACAGCAGCGUACUCGCAAGAGCGGGCCUUCGGGCACCUUUACGCUUAGGGCGUUGGCAUAAUGGCCCUCUACCACCCGUCUUGA